UACGGAGGAUGCGAGCGUUAUCCGGAUUUAUUGGGUUUAAAGGGUGCGUAGGCGGGCUGUUAAGUCAGCGGUCAAAUGUCGGGGCUCAACCCCGGCCUGCCGUUGAAACUGACACCCUUGAGUGAGUGAGAAGUAAGCGGAAUGCGUGGUGUAGCGGUGAAAUGCAUAGAUAUCACGCAGAACGCCGAUUGCGAAGGCAGCAUACCGGCGCCCUACUGACGCUGAGGCACGAAAGUGCGGGUAUCGAACAGG
rnacentral:rRNA from 1 species